GACGAACGCUGGCGGCGUGCCUAAUACAUGCAAGUAGAACGCACAGUUUAUACCGUAGCUUGCUACACCAUAGACUGUGAGUUGCGAACGGGUGAGUAACGCGUAGGUAACCUGCCUGGUAGCGGGGGAUAACUAUUGGAAACGAUAGCUAAUACCGCAUAAUAUUAAUUAUUGCAUGAUAAUUAAUUGAAAGGUGCAAUUGCACCACUACCAGAUGGACCUGCGUUGUAUUAGCUAGUAGGUGAGGUAACGGCUCACCUAGGCGACGAUACAUAGCCGACCUGAGAGGGUGGUCGGCCACACUGGGACUGAGACACGGCCCAGACUCCUACGGGAGGCAGCAGUAGGGAAUCUUCGGCAAUGGACGAAAGUCUGACCGAGCAACGCCGCGUGAGUGAAGAAGGUCUUCGGAUCGUAAAGCUCUGUUGUAAGAGAAGAACGGGUGUGAGAGUGGAAAGUUCACACUGUGACGGUAUCUUACCAGAAAGGAACGGCUAACUACGUG
rnacentral:rRNA from 1 species